CUGCCAUUGAGGAGACACAGUCAAUGAAGAAAUCAGACACAGCAGCCUAUAUGAUCCUUUAACAUCAGGAGACAUCACUAUCUUUCCUUCUAGAAAAUAUCUCCCAGAUAGAAGUGGAUUUCCAGAGCUAAAUGAAUAAUACAACCAAAAGUACCUGCUGACUGAACAUAAGAAAUAUCCCUGAAUCCAAAGGGCAGCUUAGAUAGAGAAGUGAAAUGAAGCUCAGCUGAAGGCAGAAAUGGAACAAAUGCUCAUCUGAGGCACCAGGGAUGGAUUAACACAAGAGAUGCCUGGAGAUGGGAGGAUGAAGAAAAUGUAUGAUGCUGCCCUACUCAAAGCUGCUGAGAAAACAUCACAGUAAUGCCCGUCCUUGCCUGUGACCUGUUUUAGCCUCAGCCUCUCUGGAUACAAAGG